GUGGAUUAGAUACCCUGGUAGUCCACGCUGUAAACGAUGAGUGCUAGGCGUCGGCAUGCAUGCAUGUCGGUGCCGCAGCUAACGCGUGAAGCACUCCGCCUGGGGAGUACGGUCGCAAGAUUAAAACUCAAAGGAAUUGACGGGGGCCCGCACAAGCGGUGGAGCAUGUGGUUUAAUUCGACGCAACGCGCAGAACCUUACCAGCCCUUGACAUCCCGUGACCGGCUCAGAGAUGGGUUUUCCCAGCAAUGGGCACGGAGACAGGUGCUGCACGGCCGUCGACAACU
rnacentral:rRNA from 1 species